rnacentral:rRNA from 1 species
GACGAACGCUGGCGGCGUGCUUAACACAUGCAAGUCGAACGGAAAGGCCCUGCUUUUGUGGUGUGCUCGAGUGGCGAACGGGUGAGUAACACGUGAGUAACCUGCCCUUGACUUUGGGAUAACUUCAGGAAACUGGGGCUAAUACCGGAUAGGAGCUCCUGCUGCAUGGUGGGGGGUGGAAAGUUUCGGCGGGUGGGGAUGGACUCGCGGCUUAUCAGCUUGUUGGUGGGGUAGUGGCUUACCAAGGCUUUGACGGGUAGCCGGCAUGAGAGGGUGACCGGACACAUUGGGACUGAGAUACGGACCAGACUCCUACGGGAGGCAGCAGUGGGGAAUAUUGCACAAUGGGCGGAAGCCUGAUGCAGAAACGCCGCGUGCGGGAUGACGGCCUUCGGAGUGUAAACCGCUUUCGCCUGUGACGAAGCGUGAGUGACGGUAAUGGGUAAAGAAGCACCGGCUAACUACGUG